ACUUUGCUCAUGUUAGGAUGAGGUCCUCCUCCUGUUCCUAACAAGGCUGUAGGGGCACAUAAGGGCCGUUGUAAGGGCCUUUUCUCCCGUCCGGUCUUUAAGGAGCUGGGCGUUCGACUUUGCUCAUGUUAGGACGAGGUCCUCCUGUUCCUAACAAGGCUGUGGGGGCACAUAAGGGUCGUUGUAAGGCCUCUCCCCCCGUCUGGUCUUUAAGAAAUCGGGCCUUCGACUUUGCUCAUGUUAGGAUGAGGUCCUCCUCUUAUUCCUAACAUGCUUAAUUUCGUUUGUAUGAGGGAGUUACUUCCUGUCGUUAUAAGCUUAUGCCAAA
rnacentral:lncRNA from 1 species